UUCACUGUAAAAUUGUUUCAGUCGGAGUCUUCAGUGGUGUUAUAACUUUUCUUUUUCCUCUUAUGUGAUUUGUCUUGUACAGAGAAGACAGAAAACCAGUCCAGACCAGAUACCAGCUGAGGGGGCAGCAUACCUUACAAGCCAUCUUUAAAAAAUAACGUAAGUUUUUCCCAUGCCAUAUUUUUUUUUGUUUUGAUCAAAAUUACUUCACUGUAAAUAUUAUUAUUUCAAAAUUGUCUUCACUUGUUAACUUUUUUGUCGCCCACAUUAUUUGUCCUUUACAGAAAGGAAACAAGUCGAGACCAGACUGGAGGUGUAUUGUCAUGAUGUCUGAAACCAGCGUGUUCGUUUUUGUGGUCAAUUGGAGUGGAACAUGAAGCUGUGGUGGCCUCACUGUGAAGCUCUCAUCGCCUACCUGAUGACCUACAGUCACACUAAGAGACCAGAGCUGCUGGAGAGAUUCUCUCAAGUGUAUGAGUACACCUUCAGUCACGUGAGUUAUUACUGAGGGAAACGUACCCGAGGAAAAAUCUCAUGCUCCACCUCUGAAGUGUUUAAUGUCAACAAAUGACCGUCACGAUGACUUGUAACUUAUGAAGCCUCACUUAAGAAGCACUGAAAUAUUCCUUUAAUGUUCAUAUUGUAGAAACAUUGGGUAGAAUAGAAAAGAAAAGAAGUUGUAGAGAAGAAAAAAGAUGUUAAAAUAGACGAAAAAGAGAUGCCAAAAAUAGAAUAGCAGAGACUAGUAAUGGGAGUGUGCUAAAUAACCGUGCAAGAUUAACGAAGACAGGGCCCAUAUCUUCUUAACGGUAAGACAAUGUGUAAAUUAGUGACUAAUGUGAACGUCUAGCUCAAAAAGGAUAGUCGAAUUCGGGGCGUGGAAAGAAAAAGUGAGGAGUAAAACCCGGAGCCCAGGGUAAUUGGCAAAUAAAUGAUGAAAAGAGAUAAAGAGUAAAAGAGACAAAGUGAAAAAGAGAAAAAGGCUGAGAUGGCCAAAAAAGAGAAAAAGUUAACUCUAUGUUAGGGACGACGCGAUUGGGCAUACAAACCGGUGAGGACAGUUUAAAGAAGAACAAAAGGCCUAUAUACUAUAGUAAGGAAACAUUGAGCUCAGUGUGUGUGUGUGUGAGAGAGAGGAGUGUGUGUAUGGGUGCUGAGCUGUGAGUGUGAGUGCAAAAGAGUCUGUGUGCAGUGAGUGGUGUGUACACAAAGUUGGGGAAUGAUCUAGCAUAGGUUUAAGUGAUUAACUUAUGAUAAAGUGAUAAAUGAUGUCUUAUUAAAUAUAUAAUGAUAUGAUAUAAGAAAUUAACAUAUAAGGGAAGAGAUACUGUUGCCUUUGUAGUGCUAAAAAAAACAUAUGAGCCCUGGUUUCUUUGUACAGGGACGUUAAUAGAAUAAUCAACUGCUAUGAGCCUCUCAGGAUAAAGAGGACGUUUGUACACCUAAUAGUAAGAAAUGAGCCCCUUAUUAGAUGAGGAGGACUUUGGAUGGUGAUAACAUCCUCGAUUAAAAUGACAAUUAAAGAAGUGUACACAAGCACAUUUUUGUUCAUACAGAUACAGAAAAAAACAGAGUGAAAGAUUGGAAUGAUUUGCUGACUGAUGGGUGUGGUUUUCCUCUGUGUGUGUGUGAAUAUUUAAAGUGAAUGGUCACUUGCUGAUGAUCAUGUUUAGAGGGAAGUCCUAGUUAAAAAUUGGAAAACUCCAGGGAGCUUUUCCUCCCUCUUUCUUUCUCUUCUUACAGGCCUGAGAACAGAAAGAAAGCUAAAAAAUCUAGUUUAACUAUCCUAGAUGUGUGAAAAUUUUAAAUGGUAUACCAUGAUCAGGGGAAUGGUGUAUAAUAAAUUUAGGUAGUCUUAUGGUAGAAGAAAUCUUUAAAUAGUGGUAGUAAACAUUUUAAAUUGUAUUGAAUGAAGUGAUUGUAAUGUACUAAACAUUUGAUUUGUUCUUUGUCCCUAACUCUGAUGCAUGAGAGGGGAGAGGAGAAUGAAAGGAGUCUGACGUUGGAGCUCCCAUGAGACAGAUAAGAAGAUAAAUGGCUGUGCUUCAAACAAGAGGGGGCUUGCGGAUGAGAGGCUCACCAGGUCCUGCUCCCAUUUGACAGGCCAGUACAGUUUUGUCUACAAACUCUUCUCCUAUGUGUCUGCUGCUACUUAGUUGUACAUACACACAUUAAUAGUGGGAACACAUUUAGUUGGGUGUAUAUAUUUGUUAGUGCUAGACAAUAAGAGCAGUAGUUUUGUUGGUAAAAAGAAAGGCUUGGCAAUAGAAAUAUUGCAUAACCAGAUUUAUUAACCCAGUCUGUUAAUGUUCACUUUUAAUUCAUAGAUGAUUGAACCAAAAAAAUAGUAAUUUACUUUUUUAUCUUUGGAUUUACUGAGAAAACUGUUCUGCUCACAGCUGUGGUCAAUUUACUCAUGUUGUAUUUUAUUUCUCAUUUCAUUUUAGAGAGGAGAUGAAACCAGACCAGAUGAUAGCAGACCAGACCAGAGAGGAGCUGAGGGGGCAGCCUGCAUCACAAACUAGCUUCAAAAGAAAGGUAAGUUUUUUUUUGAAAUUCCACCUUAUUACCUGGUAACUGUUACAUUAUUUUACAAGUAUCUGAAAAUUUUAAUUAAUCUUCCCUUUUUUUCUUUCCAAGUUAUUUGUCUGUUAUAGAAAUGAAACAAGCCUAGACCAAACUGGAGGAGACCAGAGUGGACCAGAUGAUAGCAGACCAGACCAGAGAGGAGCUGAGGGGACAGCCUGCAUCGCAAACUAUCUUAAAAAAAAGGUACAUAUAUUUUAUUCCACCUGCUCUUAUUGGUAACUGUUUCAUUAUUCUACAAGUGUCUGAAGUUCUUUAUUAAUUUUUUUGUCUCCAAAUGUAUUUGUCUUUUAUGGAAAGGAAACAAGCCUAGACCAGACUGGAGGAGACCAGACCAGACCAGAUGAUAACAGACCAGACCAGAGGGGAGCUGAGGGGACAGCCUGCAUCGCAAACCAUCUUUAAUAAAAAGAUACAUUAACUUUAUUCUAAUAUAUUAUUCUAAUUCAUUUCUGGAUGUAUUUUUAAAUGUAGGAUUCAAAUGUUAGUAUUUAAGGUUAAGUAAUGCUUCUACUAUUACAAUUACUUACACUUUUACUCUGGAAUUUAUUUGUGUGUCAUAUAGUGGAGAAGACAGAAACCAGACUAGACCAGAGACCAAGACUGGAGAACAGAGUGGAGACCAGAUGAGUCCAGACCAGAGAAGAGCUGAGGGGGCAGCCGACAUUGCAAACUAACUAAAAAAAAAAAUAAAUAUAUUUUAUCCUUCAUUUAAAUCACAAUUGUUUCACUGUAAAAUUGUUUCAGUCGGAGUCUUCAGUGGUGUUAUAACUUUUCUUUUUCCUCUUAUGUGAUUUGUCUUGUACAGAGAAGACAGAAAAGCAGUCCAGACCAGAUACCAGCUGAGGGGGCAGCAUACCUUACAAGCCAUCUUUAAAAAAUAACGUAAGUUUUUACCAUGCCUUUUUUUUUUUUGUUUUGAUCAAAAUUACUUCACUGUAAAUAUUAUUAUUUCAAAAUUGUCUUCACUUGUUAACUUUUUUGUCGCCCACAUUAUUUGUCCUUUACAGAAAGGAAACAAGUCUAGACCAGACUGGAGGUGUAUAGAUAAUGUCUGAAAUCAGCGUGUUCGUUUUUGUGGUCAGUUGGAGUGGAACAUGAAGCUGUGGUGGCCUCACUGUGAAGCUCUCAUCGCCUACCUGAUGACCUACAGUCACACUAUGAGACCAGAGCUGCUGGAGAGAUUCUCUCAGGUGUAUGAGUACACCUUCAGUCACGUGAGUUAUUACUGAGGGAAACGUACCCGAGGAAAAAUCUCAUGCUACACCUCUGAAGUGUUUAAUGUCAACAAAUGACCGUCACGAUGACUUGUAACUUAUGAAGCCUCACUUAAGAAGCACUGAAAUAUUCCUUUAAUGUUCAUAUUGUAGAAACAUUGGGUAGAAUAGAAAAGAAAAGAAGUUGUAGAGAAGAAAAAAGAUGUUAAAAUAGACGAAAAAGAGAUGCCAAAAAUAGAAUAGCAGAGACUAGUAAUGGGAGUGUGCUAAAUAACCGCGCAAGAUUAACGAAGACAGGGCCCAUAUCUUCUUAACGGUAAGACAAUGUGUAAAUUAGUGACUAUUGUGAACGUCUAUCUCAAAAAGGAUAGUCGAAUUCGGGGCGUGGAAAGAAAAAGUGAGGAGUAAAACCCGGAGCCCAGGGUAAUUGGCAAAUAAAUGAUGAAAAGAGAUAAAGAGUAAAAGAGACAAAGUGAAAAAGAGAAAAAGGCUGAGAUGGCCCAGGAAUAGAGAAGAAAAAGGCUGAGAUGGCCGAAAAAGAGAAAAAGUUAACUCUAUGUUAUGGACAACGCGAUUGGGCAUACAAACCGGUGAGGACAGUUUAAAGAAGAAAAAAAGGCCUAUAUACUAUAGUAAGGAAACACUGAGCUCAGUGUGUGUGUGUGUGUGUGUGUGUGUGUGUGUGUCCCUGUUCUUUGUCCCUAACUCUGAUGCAUGAGAGGGGAGAGGAGAAUGAAAGGAGUCUGACGUUGGAGCGCCCAUGAGACAGAUAAGAAGAUAAAUGGCUGUGCUGCAAACAAGAGGGGGCUUGCGGAUGAGAGGCUCACCAGGUCCUGCUCCCAUUUGACAGGCCAGUACAGUUUUGUCUACAAACUCUUCUCCUAUGUGUCUGCUGCUACUUAGUUGUACAUACACACAUUAAUAGUGGGAACACAUUUAGUUGGGUGUAUAUAUUUGUUAGUGCUAGACAAUAAGAGCAGUAGUUUUGUUGGUAAAAAGAAAGGCUUGGCAAUAGAAAUAUUGCAUAACCAGAUUUAUUAACCCAGUCUGUUAAUGUUCACUUUUAAUUCAUAGAUGAUUGAACCAAAAAAAUAGUAAUUUACUUUUUUAUCUUUGGAUUUACAGAGAAAACUGUUCUGCUCACAGCUGUGGUCAAUUUACUCAUGUUGUAUUUUAUUUCUCAUUUCAUUUUAGAGAGGAGAUGAAACCAGACCAGAUGAUAGCAGACCAGACCAGAGAGGAGCUGAGGGGGCAGCCUGCAUCACAAACUAUCUUCAAAAGAAAGGUAAGUUUUUUUUUUAAAUUCCACCUUAUUUACUGGUAACUGUUACAUUAUUCUACAAGUAUCUGAAAAUUUUAAUUAACCUUCCCUUUUUUUCUUUCCAAGUUAUUUGUCUGUUAUAGAAAUGAAACAAGCCUAGACCAAACUGGAGGAGACCAGAGUGGACCAGAUGAUAGCAGACCAGACCAGAGAGGAGCUGAGGGGACAGCCUGCAUCGCAAACUAUCUUAAAAAAAAGGUAAAUAUAUUUUAUUUUAACUGCUCUUAUUGGUAACUGUUUCAUUAUUCUACAAGUGUCUGAAGUUCUUUAUUAAUUUUUUUGUCUCCAAAUUUAUUUGUCUUUUAUGGAAAGGAAACAAGCCUAGACCAGACUGGAGGAGACCAGACCAGACCAGAUGAUAACAGACCAGACCAGAGGGGAGCUGAGGGGACAGCCUGCAUCGCAAACCAUCUUUAAAAAAAAAGAUACAUUAACUUUAUUCUAAUAUAUUAUUCUAAUAUAUUUCUGGAUGUAUUUUUAAAUGUAGGAUUCAAAUGUUAGUAUUUAAGGUUAAGUAAUGCUUCUACUAUUACAAUUACUUAUACUUUUACUCUGGAAUUUAUUUGUGUGUCAUAUAGUGAAGAAGACAGAAACCAGACUAGACCAGAGACCAAGACUGGAGAACAGAGUGGAGACCAGAUGAGUCCAGACCAGAGAAGAGCUGAGGGGGCAGCCGACAUCGCAAACUAACUAAAAAAAAAAGAUAAAUAUAUUUUAUCCUUAAUUUCAAUCACAAUUGUUUCACUGUAAAAAUUGUUUCAGUUGGAGUCUUCAGUGGUGUUAUAACUUUUCUUUUUCCUCUUAUGUGAUUUGUCUUGUACAGAGAAGACAGAAAACCAGUCCAGACCAGAUACCAGCUGAGGGGCCAGCAUACCUUACAAGCCAUCUUUAAAAAAUAACGUAAGUUUUUCCCAUGCCAUAUUUUUUUUUUUUUGAUCAAAAUUACUUCACUGUAAAUAUUAUUAUUUUAAAAUUGUCUUCACUUGUUAACUUCUUUUGUCGCCCACAUUAUUUGUCCUUUACAGAAAGGAAACAAGUCUAGACCAGACUGGAGGUGUAUAGAUGAUGUCUGAAAUCAGCGUGUUCGUUUUUGUGGUCAGUUGGAGUGGAACAUGAAGCUGUGGUGGCCUCACUGUGAAGCUCUCAUCGCCUACCUGAUGACCUACAGUCACACUAAGAGACCAGAGCUGCUGGAGAGAUUCUCUCAGGUGUAUGAGUACACCUUCAGUCACGUGAGUUAUUACUGAGGGAAACGUACCCGAGGAAAAAUCUCAUGCUACACCUCUGAAGUGUUUAAUGUCAACAAAUGACCGUCACGAUGACUUGUAACUUAUGAAGCCUCACUUAAGAAGCACUGAAAUAUUCCUUUAAUGUUCAUAUUGUAGAAACAUUGGGUAGAAUAGAAAAGAAAAGAAGUUGUAGAGAAGAAAAAAGAUGUUAAAAUAGACGAAAAAGAGAUGCCAAAAAUAGAAUAGCAGAGACUAGUAAUGGGAGUGUGCUAAAUAACCGUGCAAGAUUAACGAAGACAGGGCCCAUAUCUUCUUAACGGUAAGACAAUGUGUAAAUUAGUGACUAAUGUGAACGUCUAGCUCAAAAAGGAUAGUCGAAUUCGGGGCGUGGAAAGAAAAAGUGAGGAGUAAAACCCGGAGCCCAGGGUAAUUGGCAAAUAAAUGAUGAAAAGAGAUAAAGAGUAAAAGAGACAAAGUGAAAAAGAGAAAAAGGCUGAGAUGGCCAAAAAAGAGAAAAAGUUAACUCUAUGUUAGGAACGACGCAAUUGGGCAUACAAACCGGUAAGGACAGUUUAAAGAAGAACAAAAGGCCUAUGUACUAUAGUAAGGAAACACUGAGCUCAGUGAGAAGAGGUGUGCUGAAAUUUGAGUGUGUGAGAGAAGCUUCUGGUGUGUGUGUGUGUGUGUGUGUGUGUGUGUGUGUGUGUGUGUGUGUGUGUGUGUGUGUGUGUGUGUGUGUGUGUGUGUGUGUGUAUGGGUGCUGAGCUGUGAGUGUGAGUGCAAAAGAGUCUGUGUGCAGUGAGUGGUGUGUACACAAAGUUGGGGAAUGAUCUAGCAUAGGUUUAAGUGAUUAACUUAUGAUAAAGUGAUAAAUGAUGUCUUAUUAAAUAUAUAAUGAUAUGAUAUAAGAAAUUAACAUAUAAGGGAAGAGAUACUGUUGCCUUUGUAGUGCUAAAAAAAACAUAUGAGCCCUGUUUUUCUUUGUACAGGGACGUUAAUAGAAUAAGUAACUGCUAUGAGCCUCUCAGGAUAAAGAGGACGUUUGUACACCUAAUAGUAAGAAAUGAGCCCCUUAUUAGAUGAGGAGGACUUUGGAUGGUGAUAACAUCCUCGAUUAAAAUGACAAUUAAAGAAGUGUACACAAGCACAUUUUUGUUCAUACAGAUACAGGAAAAAACAGAGUAAAAGAUUGGAAUGAUUUGCUGACUGAUGGGUGUGUGGUUUUCCUCUGUGUGUGUGUGAAUAUUUAAAGUGAAUGGUCACUUGCUGAUGAUCAUGUUUAGAG
rnacentral:lncRNA from 1 species